rnacentral:rRNA from 2 species
UUGAAAGGGAAACGAUUGAAGUCUGUCGUACCGGCGGAUAAUCAGCCUUUCGAGUAUGAUUCUGUGGAGUGUGAGGAGUUUAACCGCCUUUAUACCUGCAUAUUUGUGCGCUUUGGGUGUACUUGUCCGUAUGGUAGGUUAACAUCAAUUUUGGUCGUUAUAAAAUGGCUAGGGGAAUGUAGCUUUAAUCUCGUAUUGAAGUGUUAUAGCCUCUGGUAAAUGUAGUGACUAGGAUUGAGGAUUGCAACGGAUACCUUUCGGGGCUACUCGUCUGAUCUCUGGAAGUUACUUUGGUGCUAAAAGCUUGCUUAUGGUUAUCGAAGUUGACGGUCAAUAGGUUAGAACGAGUUAAAUUCGUUAAGGAUGUUGACGUA